rnacentral:misc_RNA from 1 species
UUUCCGUAGGUGAACCUGCGGAAGGAUCAUUAUUGGAUUUUGAAACUUCAGGCUGCUGCUGGCUCUCCUCGGAGGGCAUGUGCACGCUUGUUGUCCAUUAUUUCUCCCACUGUGCACAAAUUGUAGACCUUUCAGUAGGCCUAUGUUGUUUUUCACAAUCUCUGAAUGUAAUAGAAUGGUUUUGAAUCUUGGGAAAUACAAUACAACUUUCAGCAACGGAUCUCUUGGCUCUCGCAUCGAUGAAGAGCGCAGC